UACGUAGGGGGGCAAGCGUUUGUCCGGAUUUAUUGGGGCGUAAAGAGCGUGUAGGCGGCCAGGUAGGUCUGCUGUGAAAACUCGAGGCUUAACCUCGAGCUGUCGGCGGAAACCAUCUGGCUAGAGUCCGGAAGAGGAGAAUGGAAUUCCCGGGUGUAGCGGUGAAAUGCGCAGAUAUCGGGGAGGAACACCGGUGGCGAAGGCGGUCUCUGGGCCGUUACCUGACGCUGAGGAGCGAAAGCGUGGGGAGCGAACAGG
rnacentral:rRNA from 1 species